CAGCCGUAAACUAUGCGCGUUAGGUGUACUGGUGACCACGAGUCACCGGGUGCCGAAGGGAAACCGUGAAACGUGCCGCCUGGGAAGUACGGUCGCAAGGCUGAAACUUAAAGGAAUUGGCGGGGGAGCACCACAACAGGUGGAGCCUGCGGUUUAAUUGGACUCAGCGCCGGGAAGCUCACCGGAUAGGACAGCAGAAUGAUUGCCGGGCUGAAGACCCUGCAUGACUAGCUGAGAGGAGGUGCAUGGCGUAGACGUCU
rnacentral:rRNA from 1 species